rnacentral:rRNA from 1 species
UAAAAGUGACGCUAGCGGCAGGCUUAAUACAUGCAGUCGUGGGGCAGCAUGAAUGUAGCAAUACAUUUGAUGGCGACCGGCAAACGGGUGCGGAACACGUACACAACCUUCCUAUAAGUGGGGAAUAGCCCAGAGAAAUUUGGAUUAAUACCCCGUAACAUAACGAUGUGGCAUCACAUUGUUAUUAUAGCUUCGGCGCUUAUUGAUGGGUGUGCGGCUGAUUAGAUAGUUGGCGGGGUAACGGCCCACCAAGUCUACGAUCAGUAGCUGAUGUGAGAGCAUGAUCAGCCACACGGGCACUGAGACACGGGCCCGACUCCUACGGGAGGCAGCAGUAAGGAAUAUUGGUCAAUGGACGCAAGUCUGAACCAGCCAUGCCGCGUGAAGGAUUAAGGUCCUCUGGAUUGUAAACUUCUUUUAUCUGGGACGAAAAAAGGCGAUUCUUCGUCACUUGACGGUACCAGAUGAAUAAGCACCGGCUAACUCCGUGCCAGCAGCCGCGGUAAUACGGAGGGUGCAAGCGUUAUCCGGAUUCACUGGGUUUAAAGGGUGCGUAGGCGGGCAGGUAAGUCAGUGGUGAAAUCCUGGAGCUUAACCCCAGAACUGCCAUUGAUACUAUCUGUCUUGAAUAUUGUGGAGGUAAGCGGAAUAUGUCAUGUAGCGGUGAAAUGCUUAGAUAUGACAUAGAACACCUAUUGCGAAGGCAGCUUACUACGCAUAUAUUGACGCUGAGGCACGAAAAGCGUGGGGAUCAAACAGGAUUAGAUACCCUGGUAGUCCACGCCCUAAACGAUGGAUACUCGACAUAC